rnacentral:tRNA from 1 species
AGUCCUGUGGUGUACGCACGUCAGAUUGCAAACCUGAAGAUGCAGGCUACCUGCCUGCCGGGGCUU